CCUACGGGGGGCAGCAGUGAGGAAUAUUGGUCAAUGGCCGAGAGGCUGAACCAGCCAAGUCGCGUGAGGGAAGACGGCCCUACGGGUUGUAAACCUCUUUUGUCGGGGAGCAAAGCGAACCACGUGUGGUUCAUUGAGAGUACCCGAAGAAAAAGCAUCGGCUAACUCCGUUCCAGCAGCCGCGGUAAUACGGGGGAUGCGAGCGUUAUUCGGAUUUAUUGGGUUUAAAGGGUGCGCAGGCGGAGGUGCAAGUCAGCGGUAAAAUUGCGGGGCGCAACCCCGUACUGCCGUUGAAACUGCAUCCCUUGAGUGCGCGAGAGGUAUGCGGAAUGCGUGGUGUAGCGGUGAAAUGCAUAGAUAUCACGCAGAACUCCGAUUGCGAAGGCAGCAUACCGGCGCGCAACUGACGCUGAUGCACGAAAGCGUGGGUAUCGAACAGGAUUAGAUACCCCUGUAGUC
rnacentral:rRNA from 1 species